rnacentral:rRNA from 1 species
AGGGAAAUCUUCCACAAUGGACGCAAGUCUGAUGGAGCAACGCCGCGUGAGUGAAGAAGGUUUUCGGAUCGUAAAGCUCUGUUGUUGGUGAAGAAGGAUAGAGGUAGUAACUGGCCUUUAUUUGACGGUAAUCAACCAGAAAGUCACGGCUAACUACGUGCCAGCAGCCGCGGUAAUACGUAGGUGGCAAGCGUUGUCCGGAUUUAUUGGGCGUAAAGCGAGCGCAGGCGGAUUGAUAAGUCUGAUGUGAAAGCCUUCGGCUCAACCGAAGAACUGCAUCAGAAACUGUCAAUCUUGAGUGCAGAAGAGGAGAGUGGAACUCCAUGUGUAGCGGUGGAAUGCGUAGAUAUAUGGAAGAACACCAGUGGCGAAGGCGGCUCUCUGGUCUGUAACUGACGCUGAGGCUCGAAAGCAUGGGUAGCGAACAGGAUUAGAUACCCUGGUAGUCCAUGCCGUAAACGAUGAGUGCUAAGUGUUGGGAGGUUUCCGCCUCUCAGUGCUGCAGCUAACGCAUUAAGCACUCCGCCUGGGGAGUACGACCGCAAGGUUGAAACUCAAAGGAAUUGACGGGGGCCCGCACAAGCGGUGGAGCAUGUGGUUUAAUUCGAAGCAACGCGAAGAACCUUACCAGGUCUUGACAUCCUUUGACCACCUAAGAGAUUAGGUUUUCCCUUCGGGGACAAAGAGACAGGUGGUGCAUGGCUGUCGUCAGCUCGUGUCGUGAGAUGUUGGGUUAAGUCCCGCAACGAGCGCAACCCUUGUUAAUAGUUGCCAGCAUUAAGUUGGGCACUCUAUUGAGACUGCCGGUGACAAACCGGAGGAAGGUGGGGAUGACGUCAAGUCAUCAUGCCCCUUAUGACCUGGGCUACACACGUGCUACAAUGGGCAGUACAACGAGAAGCGAACCUGUGAAGGCAAGCGGAUCUCUUAAAGCUGUUCUCAGUUCGGACUGUAGGCUGCAACUCGCCUACACGAAGCUGGAAUCGCUAGUAAUCGCGGAUCAGCACGCCGCGGUGAAUACGUUCCCGGGCCU